rnacentral:lncRNA from 1 species
CUGAUUUGGGAUUUUGCAGUAAUGAUAUUUCUGUUCUAAUUUUUGGAUGCCUGAUGAUGGAAAACUCAUUUUCUGAGCGGUUACGCGGGUUUUUUUUACGAGCUUUUUGUAUCAUUUUUGCUGUACUAGUCUCUCUCUCUCUGUCUCUCUCUCUCUCUCUCUCUCUCUCUCUCUCUCUCUCUCUUUCUCUCUCUCUCUCUCUCUCUCUCUUUCUCUCUCUCUCUCUCUCUGUCUUUAUGGCUUGUACAGUUGAAGAUGUGAAAAGGCUCAUGGUGAUAAUCCCGCAGAUAACUGUCUAUGACCAGAUAUAGCUAUGAGAUCUGAAGGCUUGUUUACAGGCAUUUUCUUUUCCCUAACAGAUGUGUAUUGAAUUUUCAGUUGUUUUGUUUCGUUAAUACAACAACAACAACAAAACUUUUUUCCAUUAAAUGGGGUCGGCUAUAUGAAUCUUAUAACGUCAUUGCGCUCGGUUUUGUGUCAUGUCCUCCGUUAGAUCCAAGUACUCUAAGUUUUUUCUUAGGGUUUCUUCCAAAGUUUUCCUAGGUCUUCCUCUACCCCUUUGCCCUGAACCUCUAUCCCGUAGUCACAUCUUCGAACCGGAGCGUAAGUAGUCACAUCUUCGAACCGGAGCGUAAGUAGGCUUUCUUUGCACAUGUUCAAACCCAUUUUGUUUCGUUAAUGAUUUCUGUAUAUGUAUUCUUACUAUUGUAUUGAUCUGAAGUUUUCUGUUAAUAGAAAACCGAAGAGCACUUUUGGCGUUGCGGUAUUUUACCCCUAUAAAACGAUUAUUGGAGAUUGUUUUGGUUAGAAGAUGGUUAUAGAUUUUUGAUUUACUUUAUCUUCUGGUUCAAAUAUGAUGCCCAGUGAUGGGAGAAUUGAAAACCUAAACAGUGGUAAGCGUGGUUGAUUUUUCAUUAGCCCGUACUUACCACAAGCACCACCUCUCUCUCUCACUACAACAAACAACAACCAAGCCUUAUCCCACUAUACGUGGGAUUGGCUGGAUGAAUCAUUGAACGCCAUUACGCUGGGUUUUGUGCCAAGUCUUCCGUUAUCUCUGUCUCUCAUACAUAUAAAUAUAUACAUACAUUCACACAUACAUACGUUGGUGGUGCAUGGUGGAGUACGAAGGCUUUUGAGGAACGCCACUAGCCGUGAACUGUAUAUGACUCGUUCAAAGGUGUGAGAUCUGAGGGCACGAACCUUUGAAGUAGUGAUGCUUGUCAAGUUAUUUUUCAAGGUUAGAGCACGAGCCUUUGGUGUAGUAAUGUUGUGCUAAUGAUGAGUUAUACUCUGUAUCUAGCCUUUCUUUUUCUUGAAUUAUUUUGGAUCAUUACCAUGUUCUCUGAUAUAGUUUUUUUGCUGCUUCUGAAAGGUUUAUUUGCCUAAUGAUGGAAAACUCAUUUAUGGAGCGGUUCUGUGGAUUGUUAUUAGGAGCCUUUUCUAUCAUUUUCCUAUACUAGUCGCCGUCAUCAUCAACACCACCAUUCUUCUCUCUCUCUCUCUCUCUCUCUCUCUUCUCUCUCUCUUCUCUCUCCCUCUCUGGCUUGUAUGGUUGAAGAUGUGAAGAGGUUCAUAGUGAUAAUCCACAGUUAACUAGCAAUGACCAGAUAUAGCUAUGAGAUCUGAAGGCUCUUCAGUUUUUUGCCUUUUUUUAUUUAAGAUAUGCUUGUUGAAUUUUAAAUUAUUUUUGUUCCCUUAGUUAUUUAUAUAGGUCAUUGCAGCAUUGUAGACAUUAUUUUAGUUUAACUGGAGCACUUUUGGCAUUGCAGUAUUUGAUUACUAUAAAUGUACUGUUACUUUUGUAUUGAUUUCAAAUUUUCUGUUAAUAGAAAACCAAAGAGCACUUUCGGCAUUGCAGUAUUUUUGUAUAUAAUGCGAGCUCCCUUCAGACUCAAACCUGCUUGUACAUUGUUACAUAUAAAGCUAAUAAACUGUCGUUUGGAAAAAAAUUCACUCUUUCAUUGUUACUGAGUGCUUUUAUUUCCUACAAAGCUAUUAUUGUAGAUUGUUUUUGUUGAAAGAUGGUUAUACAUUUUGAUUAACUUUAUCUUCUGGUUCAAAUAUGAUGCCCAGUGAUGGAAAGUUGAAAACCUAAAUAGUGGUAAGGGUGGUUGAUUCUUCAUUAUCCCGUACUAACCACAAGCACCACCUCUCUCUCUCUCUCUCUCUCUCUCUCUCUCUCUCUAAUAUAUAUACAUACAUACAUACACACACAUACGUUGGUGCUGCAUUGUGGAGUAUGAAGGCUUUUGAGGAACGCCAUUGCCCAUGAACUGGAAAUGACUUAUUGCUAUGUGAUCUGAGGGCAUUUUCAUAGAACUCACUAUUUUCAAUUACCUAUUUGGGGAUAUAUCCCUCCUUGCAGUCCAAAUUUUGCGCCGCAAGUUACUUUGACCCCACAUGUGCGUUUGGGCCCCAAAUUUUGUUUCUUUCAUAAUUAUGAUUUUUAUAUGGGCUGAUUGUCUGUUCUGUUCUUGUUUCAAACUGUUGUUUCAUAAAAACCUGUAUUUUUCUUGACUGGGUGAUAGGCCUUUGAUAUUAAGUUGUUUUGAUGAUGGUUUAUUUUCAUUUGUGCUAGAAGUUUAUAAUGGCAUAGUUCUGAGUGGAGUGCUUGUUUAAUUGGCAGUUGGGGUUGGGUUAUAACUGUUAUGUGAUUGUGGGGAAUGAUGGUACCUGCAGUGGUCUCUGGGCAGUUUGGGAUUGCAAUUGUCGAUGGAAAUGCAGCCUAGAAUGCUAUUUAUGAUCCCUGGAGUAAUUCUACUUUGGGGUAUAUUUCAUGUUAUUGUUGUCAUCAUUCAAUUAACUUAUUGUGUCGCAAUGGAAAUUACUGGUCAAGUUAUUUAUGACCCCUGAAUUAGUGAUGUUGUGCUAAUGAGUUAUACUCUGUCUAUAGUCUUUCUUUUUCUUGAAUUAUUUUGGGUCAUUACCAUGUUCUUUGAUAUAGCUUUUUUGCUGCUUCUGAAAGGUGGUUCAGUUUUUAUUUGCCUAAUGAUGGAAAACUCAUUUAUGGAGCGGUUAUGUGGAUUGUUAUUAGGAGCCUUUUCUAUCAUUUUCCUGUACUAGUUGCUGUCACCAUCAACACCACCAUCCUCUCUCUCUCUCUCUCUCUCUCUCUCUCUCUCCCUCUCCCUCUCCCUCUCCCUCCCUCUCCCUCUCCUCUCUCCCUCUUUCCCUCUUUCCCUCUCUCCCUCUCUCCCUCUCCCUCUCUUGCUUGUAUGGUUGAAGAUGUGAAGAGGUUCAUAGUGAUAAUCCACAGUUAACUGGCAAUGACCAGAUAUAGCUAUGAGAUCUGAAGGCUCUUCAGUUUUUUGCCUUUUUUAUUCUUAAGAUAUGCUUGUUGAAUUUUAAAUUAUUUUUGUUCCUUUAGUUAUUUCAAUAGACAUUUCCUUUUCUGGUCAUUGCAGUAUUCUAGACAUUAUCUUUGGUUUAACUGAAUAGCACUUUGGGCAUUGCAGUAUUGUGAUUACCAUAAAUGCACUGUUACUUUUGUAUUGAUUUCAAAUUUUCUGUUAAUAGAAAACCAAAGAGCACUUUCGGAAUUGCAGUAUUUUUGUAUAUAAGGCCAGCUCCCUCUGGAGUCAAACCGCUUGUAGAUUGUUUCAUAUAAAGGUAAUAAACCAUUGUCUGGAAACUAUUGUUGUAGAUUGUUUUAGUUGAAAGAUGGUUAUAGAUUUUUUAUUAACUUUAUCUUCUGGUUCAAAUAUGAUGCUUAUUGAUGGAAAAUUCAAAACGUUAAGAGUGGUAGGCAUGGUAUUGUAGAUUCUUUUGUAUGCUUAUAGAUUUCUUUCUUAGAUUCCUCUUUUAUCCAAGAAAGCAGUUAUUGUAGAUUCUUUUGUAUGCUUAUAGAUUUAGUACGCACAAAUCUGUGUAAUGUUUAUUGUGUUCUAAGUUUACAAAGCCACAUGCUAAAUUACUCUUCUUUUUCUUUCUUUUUUUAAUUCUUGCUUGUACGAUUGAAGAUCUGUUGAGGUUUAUAAUCGAGCUUGUGACCGUGAUGACUAGAUACAUAUUUUCAAGGUGUUUCUGCAGAGACACUCAUUAACAUGGUAUUUGAAUUUAUUGCUAUAGUUGUGUUGUAUUGAUUUAUACAUUCUCAAUAGUUACAUAUUUUACCCAUUUAGUCGUACAGUCCAUUCCUCUCAAAGGUGCCCUUGCAAUGUUAAUUCAACAAAUUUUAUGAGGCCUCGAUCAACUGAAUAUAGUUAUGGUGUCUGUAAUAUGGUUAUCUUUAAGUCUAAGUGUAUAUGUGGCUUUGUUUUUUUUUCGCUUGGUUGGUGCAACAAAUGCAAAACUAUGAAGCAGUGGUUUUUGCAUAUAUGCUGCAGUAUAGGCUUACACCUUUGCCCAAUGAUGCAGACUCCUGUUCUGGGUAUGCUUUUGAUUUUCAUUAUGAGCAUCUCCACCUCCUAUAUUUCUAUCGUCAAUAGUAGCCAUCUGCUCUUUAUGGUGGUGGUGGUGGUGGUGGUGGUGGUGUUGUCGUUGUUGUUGUUGUUGCUGCUGCUGCUGCUGCUGUCUUAUAAGAUGUGGAGAGAUUGUAAAUGAAAAUCAAAGCUCAACAUCCUUAACUAUAAAUUCAGGAUAUGAUAAGGACUGAGGGCUAUCUUUUGUUUACUUUUACUACCCAAGUGGUGUUGUGUAAAUGAUUGUUUUUACCUACCAUGGGAUAGAGGUUUAGGGCCGAAGGGGUAAAGGAAGACCUAGGAAAAUUUUGGAAGAGACUCUAAGAAAAGACUGUACUUGGAUUUAACGGAGGACAUGACACAGAACUGAGCGCAAUGGUAUUCUAGGAUUCAUAUAGCCGACCCCAUCUAGUGGGACAAGACUCUGUUGUUGUAUUAUAUUGCUAAUGUAUUUUUCUCCAUGUGCACCACACAUUUUCAUGAUUCUUGAUACCUUUAUAUGAGUAAAGCUGUUUUCUGGAAUUGGUGCCGUUAUGAGGGAGGAAUUCGUCAAGAACAUGUUAGUUUUAAAGACUGAUGUCCUUUACAAGAUGCUAUACUUGUCUUGAUCAUACAUGGGUGGCUUUUUAAUGAUGCUUUUAGUCACUCUUUGUUAAUAAGCCCAAUGAUGAAAUCUCAUUUUGUGAAGCAGUGCUUCACUUUAAGCCGCCAUUUACUGUGCCACGCUGAUCAUCGCCAUUUGCCGGCUCCUUCUUCUUCUUCUUCUUCUUCUAUUGUUGUUAUUAUUAUUAUUAUUAUUAUUUCUGGUGAUGAUCCGGUGGUGUUCGUAAAUGGUGACUGGCUUUCAGUGAUUACUGUUUAUGAAGUUUUAGUAGUGGUCUGAGGGCUCAAAAUAUCAUUAGGUUUUAUUAUUCAAUGAAAGGCAAAUGAAUCUCCAGUAUAAUUUAAAUGUGUGGUAAUCUGUUUAUUAAUGAUCUGUUGAUGUAAAUAUUAAUAAUUUAGUUUGAAUACAGAUAGGGACAGAGUUUACUCCAAACUAUUUGCUAAUUCUUGCCUUCCUCUUCCGCAUGCAUUACUAAUCUUCUUUUCUGGGUUCAAGUUUCCUUUUGGCCCUUGAAUUGUAUGUUUUGGAUUUCAGGUUAUUUCGGUUCGAUUUCUUUUAAUAGAAUGUGUGAUUACGGGGCUUGAGAGUUUUCUUUUCUGUUGCGGUUGUGGCUGCAUCGUAUGAGUGAUUACCUCUUUCGUUGGGUGGAGACGGCGACUCUGUUUUCAACCUCUGUUUGGUUUUCACAUUGCAAUGUAAGUGUAUCGUACUGUGAUGGAAUCUCAUAUAUGGUCGGCUUUUCAAUAAGCCCUAUGAUGGAAUCUCAUUUUGUGAAGCAGUGUUUCACUUUAAGCCGCCGUUUAUUGCGCCGGACUGAUCAUCGACAUUUAACUGCGGCUGCUGCUGCUGUUGCUCCUCCUCCUCCUCCUCCUCCUCCUCUUUAUUAUAAAUAAUAUUUCUGGUGAUGAUCUGAUGGUGUCCGUAAAUGUUGCCUGGCCUUUAGUGAUCACUGUUUAUGAAAAUUUUGUUGUUGAUGAGGUCUGAGGGCUCAAAACUUAAUUCGUCUUGGUGUCUGGUGUCUCUUGAUAUGUAUUGGUGUUUUGCAUUGCAAAUUUGCAAUCCAAGUGUAAUUUGAUGCAUCCCGCAUGCUGCUUGAUGGUUUAUGAUCUUUGGUUGUAAUUGUUGUAGUGAAAUGAAAUGAAAUGAAAGCGUGUCCAUAUCAUGCCUUUUGGUUUGAUUUUUCUUUUCCUUUUUGUGCAAAGAACAGCUACUUGUCUUGUUUAUGCCAUUGAUAUUGGGAGAGGAGAGAUUCAAACACGACCUCGAAUGUAGGGUAAACGCUUUUUAGUUUUUUAUUAAGUGUAAUAUUCAUACGAGUGAAAUGUUAAAACUAUUAAAUUGUGUCGUAAUAUUGUGUUUUCUACCUUAAAAGAAAGGGGAAGUUUGAACUAAAUCAAGUGGGUAACCGUUAUAUGAACUGUUUCUAACUUUGUGGUUUAGAAUUAGGGAACUUUAAUUCAAAGUUUCUGAUACUGUUUAUUUUAACGAAAAAUCAUAUUUUUACACUAAAAAGUUAAUAUUGUAUUAUUUACUUUACCUUUUAUUUGUUCUUAUCUUUAAAAUUCAAAGUUUUCAAAUUAUUUUAUUAGUUUUCCUUUAAAAUUAGUGAACUUUAACGAAAAGCACCCGGUAUUGUUCAUUUUAAUGAAAAACCACAUUUUUUCACUAAAAAGUUAAUUCAGGUACUAUUCACUUUACCCUUUAUUUUGUCCUUAUCAUUAAAACUCAAAGUUUUCAAGUUCUUUUCAUUAGUUUUCUUUUAAAAUUAAGAUGGUUAUAAGACUUUUAAUUUUUCUUCCUAUUCCUGCUUUUUCGAUUUCCAAUAGUCGUCCGCAUGUGCGUUAGCGACAGUCAGCUCUUCAUGGUUGGGAGUUCAUGCAGCUAUACAACUGAUAGUCACCCAGGCGCAUGGACAACUACCUUAGGCUGUUCUGAUAUUCUUUUUUCUAUCUUUGAAGUGGAAGUAGGGCAAUGUCAAAGCCGGAAAAGGAUCCUCGUCGGAUUCUUUUCUUGGGGAUCCUAUGAUCGUGGUUGUUUAUCGUAUAUCGUACGGUCAUAAAUCAUUUGAAAUUUAAAAUUAUAUAUAAAUAAUAUCUAACGAAAAUUGACUGCACGAUGUACGAUGAACGUCACAAUCACGGGAUCUUCGAAAUUCCCGGCAUCCGUUUCCGGUGAAAGCCCCCUUACAACUUGGAUCUAGGUAAGAAUGUGUCAAAAGUCAAGAUACCCGGCAUGGUUGACGGAUAGGGGUGAAUCGGCUAUGGCUGCUAUCUGGUUGGGGUUAAGAGAGUGUGCUUGUGUAUUCAGGGCAUGGCUGGCUUUGGGCUUAAGUUAAUAGCAGACUUCAAAUAAGAAAGAGGCCUCUGUCAGGGAGGGGGCAGUUCUCGUGAGAGCAAUUUGUAUGAUACGGAUACAUUACUAUAGUGGUGUCAAAUGCCAACUUGUGCUAUUAGCAUAGCACAUUAACGUGGUGGUGUCUCCAUGUCGUACUUGUCCAUUUCCUAAGGCUCAUUCUCAAUGAAACAGUUACCUUUUACCGUUCCAAAUUAUUAUACUAUGUUACUAUCGACGUUGGGUUCUAAAUUUAUUUUGUUUCCAGAUAAAAUCAGCCUUCUACAUCACUUAGUCCACAAGGAUUUGCAAAGAUUUACAGAGUGGAUAUCAAUCUAGUAGUAUUUUUCUUCUUCAUGCUAUGUAGAGACUUCAAGUUCAGAACGUCUCAUUCACUUAUUUUAAAUUGUCAAUGAUAUUUAUUCUUGACUGUUUAUGUAAAAAUUACUUUUGCUCCUAAACGGGUUUUAAUAAAAUGCUUUAUAAGAAACCUGGCCAAAUUUCUAUUGAAAAUAUGAGUGCUUGAAAAAAGAAGCGUCGACAAAGUGCUUCCCCAAAAACACUAAACUAUUUUUGUCAUUUUGGAAGCAAUCAUGCAACGUAGCCUUAAAUUAUUGAAUCCAAAUGAAUGAUACGUGAAUGACAUCAUCAAGAAUAUAAAUAAUUAAAAGGCAUCAUCAAAUAUUUUAAAAUAAAAAAAAACAAUUUGAAAGAAGAACACUAGCGAGAGUGGUACAAACGUCCGAAAGAGGAUCCUCGCCAGAUCCUCUUUGUGAUGAUUCGGAGAUCUUCCAAUCACAUCUGUUUUUUUGUAUAUCGUGCGAUCAAUUUUCAUUAUGUAUAGUUUAUAUUCAAUUUUAAAUGAAAAAAUUUACAAUGAUUUCUGAUCGCACGAUAUACGAUGAACGAAUGUGAUUGAAAAAUUUUCAGGAUCCUCACAAAGAGGAUUUCUCCACACGUCCCACUCCAUCCAUCAAAUCAUUUAACAAAUUGACCAAUUCCAAAGAGAAUCAAAAGCUCAUGUUCCUCUCGAACCUCUCUUCAACUGGAAAACUACAUUUACUUGUGGUCCAAGAAACAACCAACCCAUAUAUAAUAUAUGAAUGAAAAUGAAAGCUACAAUUUGUUUAUCUUUGUUACCUUUUUCCCCUUCUUUAACAUGUGCUUAAUUGUUUGAAGUGAUCAAACUUAAUUAUAAUAUUUGAUUGAGUGAAUGAUGGGUUUCUUUCUUUGUUUAGAAAUAGACACAAACAGAAGCUAACUGCGUUUCACAUUUUACAUUUUUGAUGUGAUUUUUCUAAAUAUUGAAACUGUAUUAAUUUAUUUCUACAGUUUAAUAAUAAUAUUUGAUUUUUUAUUAAAUUAAUGAUAUAAUAAGCACGCUACUGAUUGAAUUCAUAUUUAAAUCACAUUUGUAACACACUGAUAAAGAAAUCAUCAAUAUAAUGAAAUAAUACACACUUAUUCAGAUAUAAAGUAUAAAUGAAUAUAAUAUCAAAUAUAAUGCAAGAAAAUUGAAACUUAAACGCCUCACGUUUAAAAAGUAAAAAUUGUAAUUAGCCUAAAAAGAAAAAAAAAAUAGUAAAUAUUGAUUUCUUGAUAGGAAAAGGAUCCACGUUGGAUCAUUUUUUUAGGAAUCCCGUGAUCGUAAUUGUUCAUCGUAUAUCGUGCGAUCAUAAAUUAUUUUAAAAUUUAUAAUUUAUAAUUAAAUAUAAAUAGUAUUUAAUAAAAACUAAUUGCACGAUAUACGAUGAACAGUCAUGAUGAUAAAAUUUCUAAGAUCGUUAAGAAAAGGAUUCGGUGAGGAUCCUUUUUCUUCUUGAUACAUUAGGGCACAGACAUAUCCCAGAUUUGUUGUAAAAAUGUGAGGUGUGUAAAGAGCCAAAGCAUGCAUAUAUGUAUAUUAUAUUCUGGACUGGGGGGACAACAUGGUGUUUCGCAAUUUAAUGAGACGGACCGGUAACUUGUGGCUGCGUAUGAUCAUAGGUCCACCACACCACGUACACACCUAUAGAAGGUUUUCAAGGGAAUAGAUCUCUAAUUCUUUAUUUAAAAUAAAAAUUAGUUAUGUGAUCCAUAUUACUUUAAACUUCAAUAAUCUAAGUUCAUUUUUUAAGUUGGAUCUCAUAAAUCAUUCUUACAAAAUAUUAGUCAAAUAAUUUUUUUUAAGAUAUAUAAUUGAGUUCAAAGAAAUUGACGAAUACAUUGUUUUAUGAGAAACAAGGAAUUUCAUAAUGAUAAUUAAAUAGUUAAAUGAUUUCGAAUUAAAUUGAAUUUUUGCAAGAAUAAUCUAUGAAUCAAGACUUACAAAAUAGACGGUUUGGAUUGUUGAAGUUCGAUGUGAAAUAUGCCUUAUUAUUAAUACCCAUUUUUACCUAAAAAUGGAAAUUCCUUUGAAUAAAGGGGCUGCAUACAUAUAUUAUGAGGAAUUACAUCAAUAACCACAACUCGAUGAAAAUGCAAUAGAAUUUCGAGUGAAGUUUGCUUUUUUGUCACAGCCCUUCCCGAAAUAUUGGAAUAUUCAUUCUCGAGGACGUGAAUUGAUGGUUUUUCCUUUGGACAGGUUGAGUUAUUUGGUGUUGUGGUGUGUAUGUGAUGGGAACUAAGUGAUUAUAAUUGAACUGAUCCCUAAGUUUUGGACCUAAGUGAACUAAAAAGGGAUUUGGUUUUGUUUUGGUUGAUUGGUGACUUUUGGACCACACACAUUACACCCCACUUUCUCUCUCUCUCUCUCUCUCACCCUCCCGUACUCUCUCUCAGAUUCACACACACUCUCUCUUGUACGAACGAGACCUAAAACCCUUGUAAACGUGAUGGAUCGAGGUGGAGAAGGGAACCAUUGUGUUCGUGAGGACCAUACGAGUUCAAAGGUACCAUUUUUAGGUAAGGAAACCUUCGAUUUCACGUGGAAACCCUAUCUCCGAUUUGAACACUGUUCAUGCAAACGUUAAAUCUUGUGUUUUUGGAAAUUUCAAGCUCACAGAGAGCUUAAGAAGAUCC